rnacentral:rRNA from 1 species
UGGGGAAUAUUGCACAAUGGGCGCAAGCCUGAUGCAGCCAUGCCGCGUGUAUGAAGAAGGCCUUCGGGUUGUAAAGUACUUUCAGCGGGGAGGAAGGGAGUAAAGUUAAUACCUUUGCUCAUUGACGUUACCCGCAGAAGAAGCACCGGCUAACUCCGUGCCAGCAGCCGCGGUAAUACGGAGGGUGCAAGCGUUAAUCGGAAUUACUGGGCGUAAAGCGCACGCAGGCGGUUGAUUGAGUCAGAUGUGAAAUCCCCGGGCUUAACCCGGGAAUUGCAUCUGAUACUGGUCAGCUAGAGUCUUGUAGAGGGGGGUAGAAUUCCAUGUGUAGCGAUGAAAUGCGUAGAGAUGUGGAGGAAUACCGGUGGCGGAGGCGGCCCCCUGGACGAAGACUGACGCUCAGGUGCGAAAGCGUGGGGAGCAAACAGG